AGUGCUCGGCGGGGUUCAGGCAGGUCCGGGGGAAGAGGGAGUGGAUGAAGCCUGCGAGAGCCGGAAGCUGCGGGGAGGCAGAGAGACGCCCGCAAAACUCUAGGCGCAGAGUCUCCGGGGUUUCCAGCCGGAUUCCUAGGGGAGGCGCGAAAACCCGAUCUAAACUGAGGUUACUGGAGGGACUCCUGGCCGGCACUCUUUUCUCCUGAAGAGGUCGUUUAGGGGGGCUCAGGCGUGGCCACUCCUUCCCCUGGAAGAAGUGUGAGCGCAGGGCCCUCGCCGGGUGAGGGGGCCGGCGGCGCUCACACUGUCCCUGCCGCCGCGGCACAGUCCUGCCCCGGCCCAGAAGAGACUGGGGCAGCAUGAAUGUGCUGGAAGAUUAGAGGCUGCUGAUGCUGAAGGAAGGAGAAACGAGGAGGAAGUGUCCCUGUGGACAAGUCAUCUCCCUUCAUUUAAGCCAGGGAAGGCUGGGAGGUAUGAAUUUGAAGCUGGACACGUUGCUGCUCCCCUUAAAGUUUGGAUUAUUUUACUAAAGAAGAAGAGAACAGGCAGAGUCUCACUGUUUUCCAGUCUGGCCUCAAACUCCUGGGCUCUAGAGAUCCUCCCACCUCAGUCUCCUGAGUAGUUGAAACUACUGGUGUGCACCACUGCACCUGGCUAAUGGUGUUUUUUUUUUUUUAUGAGUAAAAUUUUACAUUUUCAUGAAGUCUAAUUUAUUAGAUGUUUUCUCUAAUGGUCUUUAAAGUUUUGUGCCUUAAAAAAUAUUUCUCUACUCUAAGAUCAUGAAGAUAGUCUCCUAUAUAUUUUUAGGAACUUUAUAUGUUAACUUUCACAUUUAGGUUUAUGAUUUAUCUUAAUUUUUUUUGUGUGAAUGGUGUGAGGUAGGAGGUCAAGUUUCAUUUUUAAGAUAUAAAUUCAAAUUUCUCCAUACUAUUUAUUGAAAAUGUUUUUCUUUUCCCUUUGAGUUGUUGAGCAUCUUCAUUGAAAAUCAAUUGAAGGCUGGGUGUGGUGGCUCACACCUGUAAUCCCAGCACUUUGGGAGACCGAGUCAGGUGGAUCACCUGAGGUCAGGAGUUCGAGACCAGCCUGAUCAACAUGGAGAAACCAAGUCUCUCCAAAAAAAAAAAAAA
ensembl:lncRNA LINC00237 long intergenic non-protein coding RNA 237